GUUGCGAUAGCCGAAAAGCAUCAAGAGUAGGCA
rnacentral:ncRNA from 1 species